UGGAUUGCUUAUUCCACUGCAGUUGUUGAUCUAAAACUUGUUGUCUAUUGUAUUCUAUUAGUCGUUAUCUGUUGAAGGCUAAGGAUAAUUUAUUUUUCAUUAUUUUAGUCAUAAUAUUUCUUACCAGGCUAGUUGAGCUCACCCUUUUCUUUCACUAUUCUCUUUAGGAAAUGAGAAUAUAGCUAGGACUAGUCGGGGAAUGGAUUGACG
rnacentral:lncRNA from 1 species